AUUUUCAUCAUGAUUGCUAUUACUAUUACUACUGCUACUGUUACUCCUCCUGAGAUCUCCUGGGUUCUGGAGACUUCAGGGCAAAGUCCACAGAGCUUAAGUCUUGAGCUCUGGAGCUGUCGGGCAAGUUCUCAUAAAGUGAACUGCGGUUCCCCAGGGAUCAUAGGACCCCUGUGUCUGGACACCUAGGGAAAGCCCCAUGAAAGCAAGGUGAUGUAAGACAAGCUUUGGACUGGGAGCCAGGAGAACAAAGAUCUAAGACUAAUUCUUGCUCAUUUUCUGGAUGAUCCCACACAAGACCUAGGAACACGUUUAUUGAGCACCAACUAAGCCUGACACAAUGUAAGCCCAGUGGAUCUACCCAGCACCCUGAGAGGAAGCCAUCACCCUCAUUUGAUAGACAAGGAAGCUGAAGUUCAAAGAGCUUAAUCCGGAGUUCCUGUUGUGGCUCAGCGGAAAUGAAUCCGACUGGCAUCCAUGACGAUGCCGGCUCGAUCCCUGGCCUCGCUCAGGGGGUUGGGGAUUCAGCGUUCCCAUAAGCUGUGGUAUAGGUCGCAGAUUAGGCUUGGAUCCUGAGUUGCUGUGGCUGUGGCAUAGGGCAGCAGCUGUAACUGAUUCAACCACUACCCUGUGGACUUCCAUAUGCCGUGGGUGCAGCUCUAAAAAGACAAAAAAAAAAAAAAAGUUAAACAGCUCUUCCAAAGUCAGACAGGUGGAAUUUGACCACUGGGCUCUGUGGGUCCUUCUCUGCUGUACGAGGAUGCCUCUCUGGGCCUGCGUUUGCCCAGUAAAAAAGUCAAAUAAUGAGGGGUCACAGACUGGAGACGCACAAGCCAUUCUCACUCCCAGAUAUAGCGUAUUUGACUCAAUGAAUGUGUUUUAUUUUAAUAGAAUUACAUUUAUUGUCAAUGUUUAUUUACAUCAGGAGAUUUAAGCUAAAAAUCAGAGUUUCUAGUUUGCCACGAAAAAAACUGGAACACUGGCCACACUCCCUCCUUCUUGGGGGUGCAGCCAAGCAGCAGCACAAAGGGCAUGGCCUUCUAAAGGAAACAGCACUGCCACAGGAGGCACCGCGAUGGGGCACACGCAGGUUCCACCCCUUCCCGGGCCAUGGGUCACGGUUGUUUAUCAUCCCUCUUGUGCUGCUUUCUUGCACCAGCCAGCCUCUGCUAUUGCGAUCCCCCCCCCAUUCCCUACAGGCCUUUGAGUGGGUGACCCUUACACCGGAUGAACUCCAGCGCCCUCUCCAGCCCUCACAACCUGUGGCUCCUCCCAGAAUCUCCCAGCUCGGCCCUCUUCCAAGGAGGUCACUUUAUGACCCACUCAGACAAGCAAGUGCUGCUUUGCACCUACCUCCCCUCUGCCUCCAUCGCAGCCCACCCCCCGCCUGUCCCUCCCAACCUCUCCCACUCCCAUCCCCAUGCCCACCGUGCCAGCCAGUCUGAGCCAUGCGGGCAAUGGAGGGAGCAGCUGCGGUGGUGAACCAGGCAGGUGUGGAGGUGAGUGAGCCUGGGUCAAGGGGUGGGGCCCCACCCAGGGAGGGAGGCCGGAGGAAGGCAGGACUUCAUAUUUCCCAACAGGAAAGUGGCUCAAGGAGAUAAAUGUGAGUGGGGAGGUUCUGCAGCCCCAGAAGACGAGCAGGGUUUGACACGGACGGAAACACGAGCGGUAAGUCAUCAGGAGGAAAAAUGUACCGUCUCAGCAGUAGUUUAAGAUAUGCAAAUUAGAACACCAUUAAGGACCCAUUAAGGCCAGAGUCAACCUGAAAAUCAGUAAAUAAACAAGAAAGCUGCUACUGGCAGGGUCAUCAGGAAACAGCUGCACAUACAUUGCUGUGCCAUUAUAAGCCAUUCAAAUCUUUCUAGAAUUAGUGUGGGGGGGUUUCUUUCCAUUUUUAAAAAUUGUAUUAAAGUGUAGUUGCUUUACAAUGUUGUCAUCUUUCUAGAAUUUGAUUCGGCAUUGUGUGGCAAGUGUUUCAGACUUGACCAGGUAAUUAUGGUCAGGGGACCAGAACCCAUGAAAACAAUUUAAAAUGCCACCACAAAGGAGUUUUUACAAAAGAUGCUCAUAGCACCUGUAUAAAGACUCCCCAAGAGGAAAUCCAUUCAUAUAAACAAUACGGUAUGGUAACACAAUGAACUAUGAAAGGAUUGACAUAGAGAAAAAAUCUGAUGAAACCAUUUGAUGAAAUCAUGCUAGGCGACAGAGGCAGUAGAGAGAAAGCAUAGAGGUAGACUCAUAAAGUUAGAACUUCCACAGGAUCGCUGGCAGCUAUCGGAGGAGAAUUCAGAAAAAUGUAAAUUGCUAAGCUGUACUGUUUACUCUGCUAAGUGGAUCUAGUGGGUUAAAUAAUGAUGUUGCGAUGACGAUGCUAUGGACGAUAUAAAGGCCAUUGAACAGGAUUUCCUCAGCAUAAAAAUACCCCAGCCCGGGUCCCAGGGCACAGGUAGGCUCAGGCCCCAGGCUUGAUGAGGGAAGGAAGAAGGAAUGUAAACUAGGAGAGGAGGGGUUAUGACUGCGGGCAGGGGGAGGGCCCCAGAGCUUCCCUUAUCAGGAGAGCCCUGAAAGACACCUCUCAUGAAAGAAUCAAAGUUACACAAAUAAACCCACACCAUUUAACCCCCAACGUCCUGAGUGCUAACUCUUACUGCUGCAUUUGCGCUCUCAAUUUUACUAAUACCUUAUUUCAGCAACUUCAGAGGUGACACUGGUCCUCUUUGCGGGCUAGCCUAGGAACCCAACCACCAUUUAUAGCAUUGUUUCUAUGGAAAUGUGUUUCAAGCAUCAAGAAAUUGAGCUGCUGACAACCCUGGGGCACACACGUGGUCUCUAAAUUAGGGAACUGAGACGAGCAGUUAUAGCUGGGUCCUGGGCUCAGGAAGGCAGCUUGCUUGUUACUUAGAUUCUGUGUCAGUUAAUACACCACCAGCCAUGAUCCGGUUGGAGGUGGCCCCCGGUCCCUGGAGGGGGUGGGGAUGGGACCACGACAUCUAGGCAUGAACACCAUACUCUAGGGAAGCACAUGGAUACCCCUCACACUCACCCCUGCCUCCAAACCCACCCCCAAGCCUCCGUGUUCUGGAAGACAGGAACCUGGCCUGAGCACCCUUUGUGAGUAUCCAGGCCAGCCCGGCGCCAACACACUCUCCAGUUUCGCUCUGACCCUGGCAAACCUCCAGCUACAAGGCCCUAUUUCAGUCUGAUCGUGGAACAACAAACUCCAAAUCUUUGACAGUUCUGGAAUCAGGCUUUAGCGGAUAUAUGCUCGUGAUAAUCCAUCUCUCCACACGUUCUGUUGUGGAGGCUUCUGUGUUAGCAGGCUCCAACCUGCCCAGGGCUCUCCAGCUCCCACCCACCUCGGGAGUCCAAACAAUACAAGGAGUCUCCACUUCCCGCCCUGGACUGCGCUAGUCACAGGGAAAGAAUGAUCAUGGGCCCUCCAAACAGACACUCUGUGUGCAAGGAAGUGCCCCCCACCAAGAACCAAAGGCUCCACAUGGGGAGGCAAACCCAAGAGGAGUGGUGGGUCAGAAGGCCGUUCACUAGGCGUCCCAAGGUUCUGAGAUGCCAGAGAUACGAGCAGGUGGUCAGAAGGUGAUCAGAAGACAGUCAGCUGCUCGGCCACAGGCCACACCUGCAGCUGCAAGUCCCAGCAGAGUUCAUGGCAAGAUGGGAGCGGUCAGAGGGCCCAGCGAGCCAAGCCAGAGAUCCAAAGACUUUGAUACGUUAAGUCUUUUUAAAAGAAAAGGAUACAAUAUAUAAAAUAUAAGUGUAUAUUAUACAAGUAUUAUAAAGUAUAUUACUAUACAUUGUAUAAUAUAUAAAAGUAUAUAAAAUAUAAUAUAUAUAAAGUAAUUUCAAACACUCCAUUCAUAACCACCUCACCUAAAUCUUGCAUUUACCUUAUGCCAAUUUUUUUAAUGAUUUUUUUUUCCAUUAUAGCUGGUUUAGUGUUCUGUCCAUUUUCCACUAAACAGCAAGGUAACCCAGUCACACACACAUGCAUGCAUUCUUUUCUCACAUUAUCCUCCAUCAUGCUCCAUUAUAAGUGAACUUUAUGCCAAUUUAUACCAGAGCCAAUGUAAUCCAUUUUCAUACACUCAUCAAGUGUCUGCGCGAUUUCGCCUGCUAAAACAGAAAUCAUCUUUUCACGAAAAUUCUUCAACAUUUUCCCAUGAAUCCCUAUCGUCUUCAUAUCAAUUGAACAAUGGCACAAUAUUCCACUGAGUCUAGGUGUCAGAUUACACAGCCUUGUGGAACACUCAGGCUAUUUACAGUUUUUUGCUAUUUUAAACAAUGUUGCUAUAAAUAUCUCUGUGCAUAUAGCUCUUUUCCUUUCUAGAAUUAUUUCCUUAGCAUAAAUUCCCAAGAGUAAAACUAAUACGUAAAAGGAAAUUAACAUUUUUAUAGCUUCAGGUUCUACAUUUUAAAAAUAUAUUGUUCUGUACGUGUUACCUGGACUAUUUUCCAAAGUAGUUUACCUGACGGCAUAUCCAAUCAAUCAAGGUGUACCCUUAAAAUCCACUUUUCCGAACUCC
ensembl:lncRNA